ensembl:lncRNA LHX1-DT LHX1 divergent transcript
UGCUACACCCAUCCCGGAGGAGGGAGGAAAUAGCCAGCCCGGAGCACCCCUGGACUCUGCCGGUCCCAGAGGCCACGCAAACUCCGCCCAGACUCGGUGAGGCCGCGGUAAUGCCACGCAGGGAACUGCGUGGAUAAGGUCGCUCGGAUCUGAGCGCCAAGGUCUCCCGCCUCUCCUUCCCGUCUAGUUCUCUCCGGACUCAAAUUGCCUUAAUCUCACCCAUCACUCUCUCAUGGAAAUGAUCUACUCGUGUGCAGUACUUCACAGCUUGUAUCACGGUCUCCCCUGAACCGUAUAGCAAGAGGGUGGUGGGGGGUGGAAGAGAAGGGUACUAUCUCCACUUUCCCGGCCAGGAGGCCCAAGUUAGGAGGCUUGUCCGAGAUCCCUAGGUCAGAGCACUAUUUAAGCUCUCAAUCUGGGGCAUGACUUUGAAGGGAAGGUUGCUAAGCCUCCUAAAUCCCGAUACACACCAAUGCCGUUUCCCCACUCAUCUGGAAACCUGGUGGGUCCUGCCCAAACGCCUGUAUGUCAAUUCCACCUCCUGCUUGGCGACCCACCAUGCCCACAUUUUCCACUCAAGCCUUUCAGAUCUGCUUUGGGCACCUGAAGACAGAGAGAAUCAUCUUUCAAGAGUCAGAAACUUUGCACGUGCCAUU